rnacentral:rRNA from 1 species
GACGAACGCGGGCGGCGUGCCUAAUACAUGCAAGUAGAACGCUGAAGGAGGAGCUUGCUUCUCUGGAUGAGUUGCGAACGGGUGAGUAACGCGUAGGUAACCUGCCUGGUAGCGGGGGAUAACUAUUGGAAACGAUAGCUAAUACCGCAUAACAGUAGAUAUUGCAUGAUAUCUGCUUGAAAGGGGCAAUUGCUCCACUACCAGAUGGACCUGCGUUGUAUUAGCUAGUUGGUGAGGUAACGGCUCACCAAGGCGACGAUACAUAGCCGACCUGAGAGGGUGAUCGGCCACACUGGGACUGAGACACGGCCCAGACUCCUACGGGAGGCAGCAGUAGGGAAUCUUCGGCAAUGGACGGAAGUCUGACCGAGCAACGCCGCGUGAGUGAAGAAGGUUUUCGGAUCGUAAAGCUCUGUUGUAAGAGAAGAACGAGUGUGAGAGUGGAAAGUUCACACUGUGACGGUAUCUUACCAGAAAGGGACGGCUAACUACGUGCCAGCAGCCGCGGUAAUACGUAGGUCCCGAGCGUUGUCCGGAUUUAUUGGGCGUAAAGCGAGCGCAGGCGGUUAGAUAAGUCUGAAGUUAAAGGCUGUGGCUUAACCAUAGUACGCUUUGGAAACUGUUUAACUUGAGUGCAAGAGGGGAGAGUGGAAUUCCAUGUGUAGCGGUGAAAUGCGUAGAUAUAUGGAGGAACACCGGUGGCGAAAGCGGCUCUCUGGCUUGUAACUGACGCUGAGGCUCGAAAGCGUGGGGAGCAAACAGG